rnacentral:rRNA from 1 species
UGCGGUGCUCUUCACUGAGUNCNNCUUGCGGCCGGNANNNUNUACUUUGAGAAAAUUGGAGUGUUCAAAGCAGGCACAACCGCCUGAACAGCUCAGCAUGGAAUAAUGGAAGAGGACCUCGGGUCUAUUUCGUUNGUCUCUAGACAAGAGGUAAUGAUCAAAAGGGACAGACGGGGGCAUUCGUACUGCGGUGUGAGAGGUGAAAUUCUUGGAUCGCCGCAAGACGCCCAAAAGCGAAAGCAUUUGCCAAGAAUGUCUUCAUUGAUCAAGAACGAAAGUUGAGGGUUCGAAGGCGAUCAGAUACCGCNCUAGUCUUAACCAUAAACGAUGCCAACUUGCCNACCCGCCGUAGUUCCUCCCAUGACACGGCGNNGAGCACCCGGGAAACCAAAGUGUUUGG